UGGGGAAUAUUGCGCAAUGGGGGAAACCCUGACGCAGCAACGCCGCGUGAAGGAAGAAGGUCUUCGGAUCGUAAACUUCUGUCUUCAGGGAAGAGAAGAGACGGUACCUGAGGAGGAAGCCACGGCUAACUACGUGCCAGCAGCCGCGGUAAUACGUAGGUGGCGAGCGUUGUCCGGAAUUACUGGGUGUAAAGGGCGUGUAGGCGGGUAUGCAAGUCAGAUGUGAAAUACCGGGGCUCAACUCCGGGGCUGCAUUUGAAACUGUAUAUCUUGAGUGCAGGAGAGGAAAGCGGAAUUCCUAGUGUAGCGGUGAAAUGCGUAGAUAUUAGGAGGAACACCAGUGGCGAAGGCGGCUUUCUGGACUGUAACUGACGCUGAGGCGCGAAAGCGUGGGGAGCGAACAGG
rnacentral:rRNA from 1 species